UUUUGGGAGAAUGUAUAGCAAUAGCUGAUUGCACCAACAAACAGUUGAUGCAAAAUUGAUUAUAUCAAAUAAAAUUCUAGGUAGAUUUUUGAUAAUGACAUUGCUUACCUAAGUCUUGACCAAAUUACGUGCCAGCAGUCGCGGUAAUACGUAAAAGACUAGUGUUAUUCAUCUUUAAUUGGUUUAAAGGGUACCUAGACAGCGAAUAAAGCCAUAGUAGGGACUAAUUCGCUAGAGUUACUUAUGAGGGGGUAUUAAAGUACUGCAGGUGUAGAGAUGAAAUUUUGUUAUACCUCUUUUCGUAUGAAAAACUAUGGCACAGGUAUAGGUGAAAGCAUCCCCUUAUGUGAUAACUGACGUUGAGGGACGAAGGCUUUGUGUCGCGAACAGGAUUAGAUACCCCAGUAGUCAAAGCAGAAAAUGAUGAAUGUCAUAGAUUAGAUAUACAAUUUAUUCUAUAAAGGAAAGUGUAAGCAUUCCACCUCAAGAGUAAUUUGGCAACAUUGGAACUGAAAUCAUUAGACCGUUUCUGAAACCAGUAGUGAAGUAUGUUGUUUAAUUUGAUGAUACGCAAAAAACCUUACCACAAUUUGAAUAUUUAUAUAUAUUUUUUAUUGAUUUUUACUUACAUAUAUGUAAAUAAUUAAAAUGAUGCUUAAAUCUCGUUUGUGAGACUGAGCAUGAAAAAAGAUAAUAUAUUUACAAGCGUUGCACGGCUGUCUUCAGUUAAUGUCGUGAGAUUUUGGUUAGUUCCAUUAAAUUAACGUAAACCCUUACUUUAUUUUUAUAUAAAGUAGUUCCCCGCUAUAUUGGAUAUGAUAACAGGGACUAAGAACAAGUCAUCAUGGCCCUGAAUAUUGGUGGGGCUAUAGACGUGGCCACCAUAA
rnacentral:rRNA from 1 species